UACGGAGGGUGCGAGCGUUGUUCGGAGUUAUUGGGCGUAAAGCGCGUGUAGGCGGCUCCUUAAGUCUGAUGUGAAAGCCCCGGGCUCAACCUGGGAAGUGCAUUGGAAACUGGGGAACUUGAAUACGGGAGAGGGUAGUGGAAUUCCUGGUGUAGGAGUGAAAUCCGUAGAUAUCAGGAGGAACACCGGUGGCGAAGGCGGCUGCCUGGACCGAUAUUGACGCUGAGACGCGAAAGCGUGGGGAGCAAACAGG
rnacentral:rRNA from 1 species